GUUCUAUCCUUUUAAAAACCUUGCGGUGAGGCAUGGUUUCUGACAUCAGAAAAAAAAGUGAAGUAUAGGCCACUGGACGUUAAGCAACCAAGUAUUAAACCUCACCUUUCCGUGAAGUGUUUACAAUUAUUUGUAUUUUUAAAAAAAAAAAAAAAAAAGGAUAAACAUUUCCAAAAACUGAAAAUAUUUGAGAAGACGCUAUUACCUUAGAAGUAAAAAAUUUACCAGACAGAAUAAACACGGCAGAAACAAACAAACGAAAAAAAACCAAGAGAACAAUUUGAAAUACCAUAUACAUGUUAAAAUCGGUAUAUACAAGCGGAUUAUAAACGGGACAGGGUUGAGCG
rnacentral:lncRNA from 1 species